AAAAAAAUAGUUUUCUACUCUUGUUUGACCCUCUAAGAGGAUUGGUUUGUUCACAAUUUUCUCCUCUGUUUAUAAACCUUAAUGUUUUCUGCCUGUCUCCUCAUCUCCUGAGUCUCUCGUAACGGAUCUUCAAGUAACAAGGUCUAGGUGAAAGGCUUUGGCAAUGAGCUUGGCCCUUAGGUUCAGAGCUCCUUUGGUCUUUGUGUCUUGGCUGAAACAAUAAAGGAGCCAAGGGAGAACCCAAGACAGAGACUAGUGGCACAAUUAUGAAGCAUGAAUUAUCCAGAUGAAAAGACCUAUGGAA